CAAAAAGACCGCGAAACCGUUAGGAGGGAAACGAAUGCAGCUGAAGUGGUUCCUAUCAGGUUCAGGGGACGUCGGGAGACGCGUCGGCUGGUGGCAGCCCUAGGCGUCGUCAAUCGGGACGAUCUCGCGACAACUCUGCACUCCUGUGAGGAGCCGGCCAACGGCAGUUGCCCCUAGCCCAGAAGGUCGGUCGGGAGGUGCCUCUGCACUCGUGCAGAGAACGUACAGCCGUCAGUCCGGAGGUCCGGGGACGACUGAGGAGAGUCGUGAAUUUUCACGCGUGCAGCGCAGGCCCUUGGGCCGGGUCGCCUCUGUCCGUUUGGGCCCCGCGGUGGGGACUGCCUUGCAGUGUCCGCCGACGGUCAGUCCGCUCGGUCGGGGGGUCGGCCACGCCGUGCGCUCAAGUUGUUGGUGCUCGAAUGGCUGCAUCCGA
rnacentral:sRNA from 1 species